CCGUGAUAUAAGUAUAUACUGCCCAAGGACUCACAGAAAUCCGCGAUAUAUAUAUAUAUACACACAUAGAAACUCACAGUAAUCCGAGAAAUCUGUGAUAUAUCUAGGUGGAAACUCACCGUAGUCUGACAUAUCUACAUGGAAAUUCACAGUAAUAUGUGAUAUAUAGACCUGGACACUCACAGUAAUUUGUGGAAUAUAUACUCAUGGAAACUCACUGUAGUCUGUGAUAUAUACAGCUGGAAAUUCACAGCAAUCUGUGAUAUAUCUACAUAUGGAAACUCACAGUAAUCUGUGAUAUAUCUACAUAUGGAAAUUCACAGAAAUCGGUGACUAAAACACAUGGCAAAACUACCAGUAAUCUGUACAAAUAAAACACAUGGCAAAACUACCAGUAAUCUGUA